ensembl:lncRNA novel transcript, antisense to TACC2
UGGGAGGGGCUCCCCUCAGUGGCCCGGUGGUGGAGAUGCUUCCGAGACGAAAGCACAGAAAGCAAAUGCAGAACUUCCCUGCCUCUCCGUCCUUCCCUCAUUUUGAACAGAGACAGCAGCUACCUGUGACUGCCCUGGGGUGAAUGUGCAGCAUCUGGGGUAAAUUUCUUCCCACGCCUGCCCGCAGCAGUCGAGACAGAAGCUGGCACAGGGCUGCCCUUCUUGUGAGCCAGGCAGCAAAAACCAGGCGCUGAGGCUCAGAACUGCUGACUCAAGCCUCCAUGAAGGAACAGAAAUCCAGAAAGCCGGGCCAGAAAUAGCAUCCGUGAGCAUCUAUUGAUAGCAUAAAGUCCGUGGGCAGAAACCCACAGGCCCAGUCCAAUCAUGAGAAAAGCAUCAGACAAAUUCCAAUAGUGGGGCAUCCUACUAAAUACCCAACCAGAACUCCUUAGAACUGUCAAGGUCAUCAGAAACAAGACAAGUCUAAGAAGAAACAGCCACAGCCAAGAGGCACCUACAGAAACAAAAUGGAAAUGUGGUUUCCUGGAUGGGAUCCUGGAACAGAAAAAGGACAUUAGGGAAAAACUAAGAAAACGUGAAUCAACUAUUGUAUUAGUUCAUUUUCUGUUGCUUAUAGCAGAAUACCUGAAACUAGAUAACUUAUAAAGAAAAGUAGUUGUUUUCUUACAGUUAUGGAGUCUGAGAAGUCAAAGGUCAAGGGGCAGCAUCUGGUGAGGGCCUUCUUGCUGGUGGGGACUCUGCAGAGUACAGAGGUGGUUCAGGGUAUCCUAUAACGAGGGGGCUGAGUAAGCUAGCUCGGGUCUUUCUUCCUCUUCUUAUAAAGCCACCAGUCCCACUCCCAUGAUAUCCCAGCAAUCCAUUAAUUCAUGAAUGGAUUAACCCAUUCAUGAGUGCAGAGCCACAUAACCCAAUCACCUCUUAAAGGCCUCACCUCUCAAUACUGCCAGAUUGGGGGUUAAGUUUCAGCAUGAAUUUUGGAGGCAACAAAUACUCAAACCACAGCAACUAUAGACUUUAGUUAUUAUAAUAAAGAUGUAUCAAUAUAUUGAUAACUUUUUUUUUUUGAGAUGGACCUCAGGGUCCAUGCACAUGCUGUUUCUCCCCAACAAUAUCUAUUCUCUUCUGUAUCUUCAGCAACCUCCGGCCCAGCCCACACAUAAACCCACUCAGCCUAAGCUCUCAGUCGAUUCCCUGGGAAGCCAUCCUCAGCUACCCAGACUAAGUGAGGUUGUGGGUCGCAUCCAUCCAGGGUGCUGCACUUCUCCCCUAGUAACUCAUUGCUCCAUGUCUAUCUGCCAGCACUGGAUGCUCCUUGAGGGCAGGACGGUGCCUGUCUUCCAGACCUCUGUGUCCUGUCCCUAGCACAGUGAUUGGCCCAGAGUAAUCCCAAGUUCAUGUUGCUGAAUGGCUCAGAUGUGUAAAUGAAUGAGAUUCAGAAGCAACCCACACAGAGUGGGCUCCAGGGCUAAAGGUGAGAUCACCCAGUGUGCCUUCUAUGACAGGUUGAGAGCCGUGAGCCCAUCUGACCUCAGGAAAGAAAGACAUAGAGCAAAUGGGUACCACUUGUGUCUGCUGGUGCCAGGAGGCACCAGAGAUGCUCUCUGACCCUAACACUGCAUCAGCAAAAGGUCUGAAGGUUGAAAUUUUUAUUUUAGAUUUCAUCAAAAAUCUACUCUAGCCCUUGGAUAAGUUCUUUUAAAAAAAAUGAGGUAUAACUUACAUACCAAAAAAUAGUAAAAUUCACUCUUUUUAAGUAUAUAGUUCCACAAAUUUUACAGAACAUUUCCAUCACCCCCCACAAAGAUCUCUUCAUGCUCAUUUGUAGUCAAUACAAAUCCCAGCCCCCAGUGCCCACUGAUCUGUUUUCCAUUCCUUAUUGUUUUGCCUUUCCCAGAAUCUCAUCUAGACUGAAUCAUGUAGAAUGUAGUCUUUUGAGUCCAGUCUUUCUCACUUAGCCUAAUGCAUUUGCGAUUCAUCAAUUUAGUUGCAUGAAUCAAUAGCUUGUUCCUUUUUAUGGGUGAGUAAUAUUCCUUGGCAUAGAUAUACCACAAUUUGUUGAUCCUUUCACCAGUGGAUAGAUAUCUGGGUUGUUUCAAAUUUGGGGCAAUUAUGAAGAAUACAUGCAUACAAGUUUUUAGGUAGACAUAUAUUUUCAUCGUUCAUAGGUAAAUAUCUAAAAAUGGGAUUGCUGGGUCAUAUUGUGGAUU